rnacentral:rRNA from 1 species
GACAGAGGAUGCAAGCGUUAUCCGGAAUUAUUGGGCGUAAAGGGCUCGUAGGCGGUUUGUCGCGUCGGGAGUGAAAUCCACUGGCUUAACUGGUGGCUUGCUUUCGAUACGGGCAGACUGGAGGUAUGCAGGGGAGAACGGAAUUCCUGGUGUAGCGGUGAAAUGCGCAGAUAUCAGGAGGAACACCGGUGGCGAAGGCGGGUCUCGUGGGCCGAUACUGACGCUGAGGAGCGAAAGCGUGGGGAGCGAACAGG